AAGAGGGUUAAACAAGGAGAAGAGUCCAUUAUUCUUGUCAGAAGUAGCGCUGCAAUUUAACCAGACCAACAUUCAUCAUGAAUUAAUAUCAGAAAGGAAAAAGAAUGAGCUGCUCAUUAAUCUCAAUCCAAUCUUGCAAAUUUAAUUUAAUUUACCUCUUCAUAUUGUAUCAUAUGGGAUGAUUCAUUUACCUAGUCUAGUCGACUUUUGUCUGCCUGUCAAGUGCUGGGCACUUCAAACCCAAGCAAGUAAGCACCUGUAUUUCUAGAAAUAUAUAUAUAUAUAUAUAUAUAUAUAUAUAGAGAGAGAGAGAGAGAGAGAGAGAGAGAGAGAGAGAGGAAGAACUUCAAACCCAAGCAAGUAAGCACCUGUAUUUCUAGAAAUAUAUAUAUAGAUAUAUAUAUAGAGAGAGAGAGAGAGAGAGAGAAGAAGAAGAAGAAGAAGAAGAAGAAGAAGAAGAAGAAGAAGAAGAAGAAGAAGAAGAAGAAGAAGAAGAAGAAGAAGAAGAAGAAGAAGAAGAAGCGAAAAAAGGGGUCAAGAAGCCGACAUUGCAGGAAAGAGAUGAGUAGAGACUAGAGAGAGUGAGUAGAGUAGACAACUAAACCUUCAACUCCUCCACCCCACACGGUGCCACGGGCGGGCUGAGAAUAAAAUUGAUUGUAAAAUUAUUCGUCAACUAACUAAUUGAUUAAUUAAUUAAUAAGAAUUAGAUGCUUAAAUGAAAUGAAGACACAUGAUCUACUCCCAGUCUCCCACCCUAAGGUAUGGCGGGAGUUGGGAAUUAAGUCAUAAUUCAGUCAAGUAAACAAAUCCAUUAAUUAUACGAAAUGAGACGUGGGACCCCGGACAGCCCACGCUGGCAGGCAGGCAGAUGAGACUUGAGAGAGAGACCGGAUGAGGGAGGGCAUUCCAAAACAGCAGAGAAUAACGAAUCAAUGAUUCCUUAUCUUGGUCUCACACAUGCCAAUAUCAUGAUUUAAGAUCAACUCUCUUCGAGAAUUAAUUGUAGGGAUGUGCUAUUCACAUAUUUUUUUUAUUUCUCAUACACUUCUUAUUGAUUUACGUUUCUUGAUCUUCUUCAAUCUAUUCAAUCCAACGGUCGAAAAAUUAAAAUGAUGUAUGAGAAGUAAAAAGGGGUAUGUGAAUAUCACAUCCCUUAAUUAUAUACUAGAGACACCACCAUUUGAUGUGAUGUGAUGAUUAAUAAUCAAUUUUUUUGAAUAAUUUUAAAAAAAAUUAAUUAAUAUGAUAUAUAAAAUAUAAUCUAAAAAUAUAUUAUCUGCUUAACAUUUUCUUUAAUUAUGGUAUUAACAAAAAGGAGAAAAGAAGACCGACACAAUAAUUAAUAGUUUUGAUGAUUGGUUUAGGUGGACAGUGAUGCGAGAAAUUACUUGACACACAAAUUAAACCCUCUUUUUUGACAAUUGUAGUAUAGAUGUAAGUAGGGUAUCGUUCUAGGCCGGGGAUUAGGAGAGAUUGCCAAUCUAUUCUAAAUUAAUUUAAAAAUAUUAAAUAAGACUCAAGGACACAAAACUAGGCUAAAAAACUCUAAUAACUCGAAACACACUUAAAAUGACUCAAAAUAAUGAAAACAAUCAAAUUAAACACUAAGAACUGAAAUGGACGGAAAUUAAAUUAAAAGACUAACAAUAAAGAAAACUAACUAAAUAAUAUAAUUUAAUAAUGGAUGGGUGUUUGGUUUUGACUAGAAGUAAAUUAAACUUAAUUAAAUUACAGAAUUGACAAAAACAUGAAAUUAAGGUGAAAGGAUAGGUGAUGGAUUAGCUAGAGGGUUCUUCUCUACACAUGACACAUAUGCAACCUAAAUUGAUUUUCAGUUGUUCUUUCAAUAAGUUGUGAAUCUCAACACUUCAGAUUAACCGUGAACAGCACUUUUUUAAUCUUCAAGUUUUCCUUAAGUUAUUGAAUUGGACGGGAAAACGCAUACAACAAUUCAAAACAUUCUUCAAAAGUCCCCUACGUGAAAAGCACAAUAGAGAUACAAUCAAAGAUCAUUAGACUUUGUGAAAACUAUAAGCAUUGACGAGGCAUUCGUAACUAUGAAAAGCAUGAUACUCUUGCCAAGAAUUCACUUAACACGAUUGUGGAUAACAACCUUCACUACUUGUGAAUAUAAGUUCAUAACGAUUAGGUGAAAUUCACUUAUAUUCUAGCAUCAAAUUCAUGCAUGUAAAUUAAGUAUGCAUCCUUAAUCGACAUACAAAAAUAAGUUAUCAAUCAAGCAGUUAAGCAAAUUAAAUCACAACUCAGAAAUCACAACUGAAGGUAAUCAAUUCAUAUUACAAAUAUAUUCAUGGCUUUGAAUUAACCUUUAGCCAAAAUAAACUUAGUUACACAUUAUUAAAAUAGAAAUAAAAUAUAAGUUUGGAAAGAUUAAACCGAAAGAGAAGAAGCUUUGCUUUCUGCCGUCUGUUUCUUUCUUCCACAUCUGUCGCGUUUGCUCUCCUUCCUCUUUCUGUCUCUGACCUGCGUUCCGUGGACUGCACUCUGACCUCUCUCUCCUGCUCUGCCCGCUGUCUCCCUGCACGUGUUUUUCAAAGCUGCAAGGGCAGCUAAACCACCCCCCCGCUCUCGGUUCUCUCCCUCUCGUUGCUAAUCUCCUCUUUUCUGUCCGUCUCUCUGUCAGGCUGCAUAGGGCAGCUCCCUGCAAUCCUCCUGUCCUCACGUCAGUCCUCUCUUUGAUGUCUCCCCUGGCUGACUCUGUGCUGCCUUGCUACUCCUGCCUGCUUCCCUUCUUUUCUCACCUCAUAGUCCGAGUGUGGACUCCCUAUUCGCACUGCUUAAUCUCUCUUCCACGCUGCCCCAAAGGCAGCUCUCUGCCUCUCGGUCCUCACCCUGUCCUCCUCUAUUCUUUUUUUUAUUUUUUUUAUUUUAUUUUCUUUUUCUGCUUCUGGCAGCAAGGCUGCCUUUCUCUCUAUCCCGUACUCACCUUUCCUGCGCCUCCUGCGCACUGCUGCCAAAGCAGCCCCCCCAGUCUCUCCGCGUGUCUCUGCGAGCUGCCCAAAGGGCAGCUCCUUUCUCCCGCUCCAAGACCCCCCUUCCCAGCUGCCAAGGGCAGCUGUUUUUAUUCUCUUUCUUUCCAGCUGCAAAGGCAACCUUUUUCUUUCUUGUUUCCAAAAUUAUUCCCCCAGCUGCAAAGCAGCUCUCUUUCCUUCCUCUCGCCCUCUUUCCUCUCCACGUCAGCUCUCCGUUUCUUCGUUCACGCUCCCCCGUCUGACUUCUCUGGGCUGCCAAGACAGCCCACUGCUGUUCUCCUCCUUUCCUUUGGCGCACUGCUUUCCUUUUCACCUUUGAUUCUCGCUGUCUCUCCUAGCUGCCAAGGGCAGCUGUUUUCUUUUUUAUUUUAUUCUUUUCUUCACCCUCCCACGAUGUAAACCAGCUGUUCCGUCUGUUGCCUUAAACAAAAGGCAAUGAUUUCUUUUCAAAGCCCCCAAGGCCACCAGUGGAAACCCCAUCAUUGUUGUCCCCCGUGCUCUCCACUUUCUUCUCUGUUUUCUUUGCUAUUUUCUGCUAAUUAAGUGGAAUCCCCACUUUUCUGGCAAAGCCACGCACCUUUAUUUUCAUUUAGUUUCUAGCAGUCUCACAUAGCAGAAAAAUAAGUUCUUUCGAUCAUGUUACUCCUACAAACACAAUAUAUCAAAAGUAUCAUAAAUACUUAAAGCUUCCAACUAAAUUAGACAAGAGAAGAAAUAUAAAAGGAUGAAAUAUAUAGUUUAAAUAUUGGUUUAUCAUUUAGCGUCACAAUGAGUUAGCAAUAUUGAAAUUUAAAUUUGCUUUUGACGAAUUUAUUACAUAAAAUUUAACUUGUUCUAUUUUUAUUUUCUUUGCAUAACAAAUCCUAUAAACACAAAAAUAACGUAAAUAGCUCAAAAAUAUAAGGAACUAACUAAGAAAAGACGAGUGAAUUCGAAGUAAAAAUAUAUAUAAAUAUGAUCCGAUCAGACAGGGAUUUUAUCCAACCCUAAACAGCACUGCUUAGAGACCGAUUAGUUAUUUAUCCAAGUCUUGGUUGACAGGGAUUUUAAAGUCCUUGUUGGUAGAGGUCAUCUCAUCAGCAUUCUCAACGAAGUGAGGUGUUACAGGUUAUUAGGCUCGGCACAUUGAACGCCAAGUUGUUUUAUGAUUGGAUAUUCACAAGUACACUUUAGAGUUUGACAUUCUGACAGCCGAACCACAUUUACCAUCAAGACAGACAUCUCUUUCGAGUAUUUGUGUCCAUAUAGUCUGGUGCCAGUUCGACUUGCUUAUACUUUCACAAAUAUAAUCACCGUGAUCGAACCCAGUGCCGACAAUUUGUGAACUUCGCAGAACUAGCAACCUUGUCUUCAUGCUUUAGAAUCCGAAGGUCGAGACGUGUUCCUUCCUCGGCCGUAGUCGCAAGAUCAAGAUGUCAGCAGUGCGCUCAAUGCGACAUCAGCAUAUUUUACUCCCCAACCAAGCUCGGCCAUCGAGUUGGCAAGCCCCGCACAUAACCGAAUGACAUAGUUAGCUCAUUAGUUACUCGGCAUGCGCGCCAUGUAGGCUUGAUAGUUUUUAGGGUCAGCAAAAAGUAAAAAGAAAUACUAAUAGACCAUAGUACUAAAUGACAUUUCUUGCACUUAUUAAACUCAUGCCAUUACAUCAUUAAUUGCUCCAAUCCUAAUCCUACCAAUGCUUUCAAACUUCGAGUCAAACCACCUUAUUUAUUAUAUAAACAGAUGACAUCCUAAUUAACAAUUCUUAUAACAAUAUUUGUUAAAGCUUUGAUCAUAUAUAAAAUUUGUCUCCCAAUUGGAAAAGAAAAAAACAGGAUUCAUACAAAAAUCUCGUAGAUACACGUCAAAUAACGUCCCAUAAAAUAAUUAAGGAUACGAACAGAACACCACUUAUGUAUACAGCCACCCCAUAUAAUUAUCACCAUUAAAUGUAAAAAUUAACAAUUGUUCACGAGAGUAUAGCAAAAGUGGUAAUGUUUAGGCAUAAAAUAUAAGUUUGGGCUAUGAAUGAGUAAUCUGAAGUAGGAAUUCUUGAUUCUCGACCCAUCAUUAGUUCUAUAAGCCAAUGACGUUCAAGCCUAAGAUAAUACCAACCUAUCCGAGUCCUUAUGAUUGAAGGACUGUGAAGGGAUCACGUUUGAGCAUGGCUUGGUCGAGUUCUUGAUAGGUUGAAACUAUUAAGGAUUGGCAAUUAUUCUGAUAGGAUUGGAAUUAUUCCAAGGAUUAGAAUUUCAUGUUUACUCAGAUAACAAUGAAUUGAGCUCAGAAAGAGAUUGGUCCAUAGUCCUGGUUCGAAUGAAGAAGCCGAGAUUGGAUAAGGGUGAAGUUUUGACUAAGGGAAGAUAAUUUGGAAUAUUCAGGUAAAUUGCUAGGAAGCUCGGUCCUAUUAGGACUCUGCCUUAGCAAACUUGUUUAUCUUGGAAGCCUUGCAUAUAAGAAAUGACCUUCAACUCAACACACAAAUCAACGCUUUACUCGAAACCCUCUCACAUCCUUAGAAAACACGAACUGCUCAAUAACCCUUCCUUAUUGGCAUAUAUUCAAUUUGGUUAAACAUCACUGUGUUAAUAACCGGCGACACCUUUAGUUUGGUGAAACAACACUAGAGUCGUAGAACUUGUCUGGUCUGAGAUGUGGAUACAAAUUUCCGCCUCAUUGAUCUUGGACAAAAUUGCACCUACAAAACAAAUAACACCUUAGGUCAAGGCCAAGAGCCACACGCGCCCACGAUGAAUGGGGGGCUUUGGCCGAAGAACCUCCGAUGCCAAAGUUAGAAUUUAGAGAGAAAAAGUAUUUGAGAGUUUUAGAGAAUUUUAGCAAGAGUGAAGACCUAGGUUUUUAGAGAAAAGUGCGUCAUAUUUAUAGGGCAUGGCCGGUCCUCUUUGGAGAAAGAGUGGCCGGCCCUUUGUGUGUAUUUUGGGUGUUAUUUGGUGAUUUAAUUAGCAAAUUAAUAUAUUGAUUAGGAAUAAAUAUAUUUAAUUGGCUAAUUAAAUAAUAAAAGGAAUGUUUUUGGGAGGUUAUUGUGGAUGCAAAUUUCUUCCUGCUUGAUCUUGAAAAAGUUGCACCUACAAAAUAAUUAAUACCUUAGGGUCAAGGCCAAGAGCCUCACGCCCCCACGAUGAAUGGGGGAGCUUUGGCCGAAGAACCUCCGAUGCCAAAAGUUAGAAUUUAGAGAGAAAAGUGUUUAGAAAGUAUUGAGAAUUUUGCAAGUGUGUUCGAAUGAUCUUUUGGUGAAAAUGGAUAUAGGGAUAUGGGGUGUGUUUAAUGGUUAAAAUGUGAUUAAUUGGGGGGCUUAAAUUUAUAUAGGAUGGAAUUAAUACCUUGCCUAUUGAUAAAACUUUGAUUUGGUUAAUUUUGGGCAUUUAAUUUGGUUGAAAUUUGCCUGCGAUGUAGGAAUCCAAAUAAAAUCUUUUUCAUUAGUCCUCUAUUUUGGAAACACUUAUUUGGAAAAUGAUAAUGUUGUUAUGCUAAAAAUUUUUAUAUAUGGAUUUUGAAGGUCAAAUAUAACAAUUACCUGUGGAAAUUUUUAGUAUGAAUGAAAAGAUUGAAAUUAACUUAAAAUUUGUUUACCUAUAUUAAUGAAAUAGGUUUUUGAUUUGGUUACCUUGUAGAAGGGAUUUGAUGAGAUGAUUGACUGCUGUUCGUUAUUACGUUUUACCUCAAGGUUUUUUGUCCUCUUUUUGGUGUUGCAUUGUGAUUAUUUUUUACAGUUAUGGAGUCAAUAAAUAGCUAAUUGAUUAGCUAAAAAAGGGAAAAUGACGUAAAAGAUAUAUAGAAUGAAAUAGGUUUUGGGAGUUACCUUGUAGAAGGGAUUGAUGAGAUAGAUUUUGACUUGUUACCCUAUUUUGGGCAUUUUUUAUUUAGAGUUGAAGGAUGAUUACCCUGCUGUUCGUGCAUAGAAGUCCCGUCCAAGGGUAUUUUCCUCUUUUAUCCAAAAAUUCACAUGCUUGUCGCCUUGUGAUUAUUUUUGGCUCCACAAAUACCCCCACACCUGUUGGGUUGCUCGUAGGAAAGGGCAGCAGAUUGUAGAGAUCUUCUUACUUUAGGAAACAUAUGACUGCUUCAUUUUUUUUUAUGUAGAUUCCCUCUUUAAUAGGAAAAAUUAGAUCCUUCUUCUCGGAAAGGGAAAAUAAAAAUUUCCUUCUCAAAAAGCCUAUAUUUAAGUUCCACCACCUUAAGUGGUUAUUAAUUAUCAACUUUGGAGAGCGAUUUAUCUCCCUACCCUACAAAGAGAGAGAAAGAGAGAAGAGAAGAGAGAGAGAGAGAGAGCUUAGAGGAUAUUUGUUCCCCCUCUUUCUAGCAAUUUUCUACAUCUUGCAUGUGCAAAGGAUCGUCUUUCGUUGAUUCUUCUUCUCUUCCCAUGCCGCACCGAUGUAAGAAAAAGUUAAUUUUUCUUGUUUUCUUUUUGGAUAAUGCUGUCGUGAGGUAGCCGUCUUCUCCAGGUGGCACGUGGGUGGAAAACGUCGGCUUGGCCUGGCAGGCAGUCGUGAAGGUAGUCGGCUGGAGGUGGGCCGAGAGGAUGUGUGGUUUGGCAGGACCACUACUUUAGGUUGCUUAACUUGGCUAGAGCCAUAGGCAGCUUAUGUGGUUGGGAUCGCGGAUUGAAGCGUUGAGAUGUAAUGCUAAGUGAGUUGCAUGGCUCAUGUCCUUUGGGAUCUUGGACUUGAUGCAGGCUAGGCUGAUGAUUGAGAUAAAUGAGGAGGUCGACGGCCUCAUGGAUUGCUGGAAUGCUGGGCAUGCAGACCUUCUGCCUGCUGGAAUGCUAGGUUAAGCUCCCUUGCUGGGUAUCAUGAAUGGAGUUGGCUGCUUAGUUUUCUUAGCCGGGAGAAAGGUGGGCUGCUCCCGAAAGAGGAGGUUAAGAGGAUCAAGGCGGAUGCAUUGGCUCGUCUAAUCAUUGUCAUGGAGCUUACUAUGAAUAAAGGUGGAAAUAAGAGAUCUUCCCUGCCUCCUCAAGAGACGUGGGUUGAGAAAAAAUUGAAGACUUCUUCUGCUGCUCUUGAAGAUCCAUCUGCUAUCGAGAGGCUUGUGAUUGGCAUGAAUUCUUCCAAUGGGAAGAAAAAUGAGGCUACUAGACCUGAGCAUGUGGUGCUUUCCAUGUUGAGAAUGGCUAGUACGAUUGUUGAUAGUAUUGCUCAGCGUAAAGGUCAUGUAAUGCCCCUAGUGCCGAAGUCUAUACCAAGAUGUCUGUUGGGAGCCAAGUCCAAUUUACCUUUGGAGAGGCUUGCUACUAUGAAUAGCAAUAAGGUGGACUCUGCUGCUCAAGUGGUGCCAAGGCCCAUUCCCUUUGCUGCUAAGACUAAUUCGCCUCUUAGGAAGGAGGAGAUUGCUCGCGUGGGUAGCUAUGAGAAAUCCACAAAGCCUGCUUCUGGGGAGGCUGCUGAGAUCUGUGUGCUUUUGAAACUAAAUCUGCUUGAAGACAUGGACGCUUGUGCCAAGUUUGUUUGCCCAAGUUCUUUUGCGAAGCAUACGACCCAAUAUAGAAGGACUGCUCUGCUAGCUAUGGUGCAUAUAUAGCAAGGCUGCCAAGGAGGUGGCGAAGACUAUAGCAGCUGAAGCUUAUUCCUCAGCUGAGGAGAUCAAGAGGUUGGAUUAUAAGCUUGUUGCUUUGAAGGGGUCUAAUAUUUCUGCCUUCACUUCUCUGCAACUUGAGACCACUUGCCAUGAGAUCGUUAACUUAAAGACUAAGCUUGACGCGAUCCAAGUUAAGUAUGAAAGUGUAGAAAAGGAGAUUGAAUGUUACAUACCUCAAAUUCAAGAUUUUGAGUUUGUAGUUUCUGUUUCGUUUCACUACUUAUGCAAAGGAUGAAGAGUUGAUUAUUGCUUAUAAUCAAGUGAUCCACUUCAAGAGAAUCGUCGAUAGGCUUGGACCCCAAGUAUUGGAACUUCAAGGUGUACUGAAGAUCAACGAAAGUUUGAAGAAGGAAGUGGAUGAGCCACAACGCGUCUGUGUUAGUCUGCUUGAAAAGAAUGAGCAGCUGAAGGGUGAGAAAGAUGGGCUUGAGGUUUUGAGACCUUUUCUAUUUCUCCGGAAGACUUUCUUGCUUUUACUUUUGAGGCUUCCAUUGGUGAAGUAGUUGGAGAAAUUAGUGCCCAGGCUGGGGGCAGCUGGGGAAGAAGAGCCAGAUGAUGUCGCAGCUAAAAGUGUCGCAACUGCUGAAGGUGUGGCGACUGAGUAGUCGUGGGAUGUCCAAGCUGUUGUAGCCUUCUAGGUAGCCUUUAAGAUUUUAUUUGGUUUUCCUUGUAGCUCUUGUUUUGCUUGAACUCCUUCAGCCUUUGCUAAUUGUUUAUAAACAUGUAUCCUUCGCUUUUCUUCAUCUUCACUUCUUUUGUUCAUGCCCUAACCUUUAGACUUGAUAGACCAGUGGCAGGCAUGCUACUUUUUUAUACGUAGACAAGCUCGUGUAGCCUAUGCAGUCAUAGGUGUUGGUGUAGAACUUUGCAAAGUUGUUAGCCAUAGGGUUGGCAGCCGAAUGCCUUACUUACAAAAGUAGACAAGUACGCGUAACCACUAGACUGUUAACCUUGGCUUUCUCCAAUUCCAUAGGUUGCGUAGCAAGUAUCACAACACUUUAGGACUUGGUGUAGGUUGUUCCACGAUUGGCAAAGGUGAAGCUUAUCGACUACGUAGCAUGUCGGCAAUGGAUAAAGCUUCGUAUAUGCAUGCUAGCUUGUUUAACCUUUCACAAGAAUGUGCAGUUGUAUAAGUCUAGUGCAGCUUUACUGCUCGAAGGGCAAGCCGUAGGUAGUCUUCCGGAAAUCGUAGGCUACCUUAGUUCACUCGGUAGCAGCUUUAGGGUUUCAGGGCAACCAUCCGUAUGGCAUACUGCGUAAUGUGCCCCCUCCGUCUCUAAGCCCCGGUUUCCCACGGAUUAGGCUAAGAGACCCAAAAUCCUUCAGUUAGGUAAGCCUUGAAAAAGACCAUUGUGGCUACUUCUAGGAAUCUCAGCUCAAGCCAUCAUGCAUCUAGUUAUACUAGGGCAGCCAGGCUCAUCCACGUCUGGAUAUUCAGAGUGUAAAGUUUAUCUUCUCGUCUUGGAAAGUUGACCCAUGUGGGUGUCGGGGAAUUGGUUUACCCUUUUGCACUGGAGAGUUAUUAGUUUACCCUCUCACAUUCGAGAGCAUGAUUGGUCCCUCAGGGGGAGCAAUUCCUGCGAUGAGUCCCUAAGAAAGGCGCAGUCUUCUUUUGAAGUGCAGGAGUGAUCAGUUGUUGUAAGUAUGCAGCUGAGCCAAGUUGUGAUUACUUCUGAAUUCCUCAUUGAAAAACUAAUGAAACGAACGAGAACUUAGCUGUAAGGUAGGAAUUACAUAACAACUGGAUAGUCCUCGGCUUGUGAAGUGGUGCCCGUCGAGCUUCUUGAGUCUUUAGGCUUUGAUGUAGCAGGAGAUCACACAUGGUACUUAUUCAGAUUGUAGGCGCUCCACUGCUUUUUCAUCUUUUUAUCGUUUCAUAGUGGCGAGGGUGUAAUUACUCUUGCCGCCUACUUUGCUGAUCUUGUACGGACCUUCUUAAAUGAGAUCCAUCUUUUUAGAGCCUUCUCUGCGGGCAGUGAUGAAGGCUUUUCUCUAGGCUAGAUCUCCAGGUUAGAACUGCAGGAUCUUAGCCCCUUUUGUUGUAGUUGGAAAAGAGCUGAUGUUGGUAGGUUGUGAUACGGGUGAUAGCCUGCUCGUGCUUCUCCUCUGUCAGAUCUAAACUUGUGGCCAUCUCCUUACUGUUCUGCUUUAUUCUUGGUAGUAGAGCGGUGAUACUUGGCUUGAUGACAUUGGGAUGAAUUAUUGCUUUUUAGCCAAAUGCCAAGAGAAAUGAGUCUCACCGGUUGCUCGUCUUUUGGUGGUGCGAUAUGCCCAUAGGCAUCCCGGGAGUUUGUCUGGCCAUUUUUCCUUCUUGUUGGUGAAGGAUUUCUUAAGGCAGUUGAGGAUCAUUUUGUUAGAUGCUUCAACCUACCCAUUACCUUGAGGAUAUCUCGGUGUGGAUAUGUGCUGCUUGAUGCCAUACUUUUGGAAGAACUUCGCCAAAUCUCUGCCCAUGAAUUGCGGGCCGUUAUGGGUGACGAUGGACUGAUGGAUUCCAAAUCAGCAAAUGAUGUUCCUCCAUUUGAAACGUGCUCUAUGUUCGUCUAAAUUGUGGUCGUCAUGGGCUCUGCUUCUACUCAUUUGGUGAAGUAGUUGGUUGCCACGAUCAUCAUGCCUCUACCCCCAGUAGCAGGUGGCAUAGGUCCUACCAGGUCGAUUGCCCACUGCAUUGGUGCAAGAAUUACUUGACACACAAAUUAAACCCUCUUUUUGACAAUUGUAGUAUAGAUGUAAGUAGGGUAUCGUUCUAGGCCGGGGAUUAUGAGGGAUUGCUAAUCUAUUAAAAAUAUUAAAUAAGACUCAAGGACACAAAACUAGGCUAAAAACUCUAAUAACUCGAAACACACUUAGAAUGACUCAAAAUAAUGAAAACAAUCAAAUUAGACACUAGGAACUGAAAUGGACGGAAAUUGAAUUAAAAGACUAACAACAAUGAAAACUAACUAAAUAAUAUAAUUUAAUAAUGGGGGGGUUUGGUUUUGACGAGAAGUAAAUUAAACUUAAAUAAAUUACAGAAUUGACAAAAGCAUGAAAUUAAGGUGAAAGGAUAGGUGACGGACUAGCUAGAGGGUUCUUCUCCACACAUGACACAUAUGCAACCUAAAUUGAUUUUCAGUUGUUCUUUCAAUAAAUUGUGAAUGACAAUGUUCCAAGUUAAUUAGGUCCGCUUAAAUUAACUCUUAGAUUUCCCUAAAUUCAUUGGAUUGAAUGGAAUACGCAUUACAACCAAAUUAUUCCUCAUCAAAGUCCCUAACUAUGGAAUACGCAUGAUAGAGACAUUCAACAAAGAUCAUUAAGUUCAACGGAAAUCAUAAACAUUGACUAGGCAUUCAUAACUAUGGAAUACGCAUGUUAAUCCCGCCUAGAAUUCAUAUUACAAAUAUAUUCAUGGUUUCGAAUUAACCUCUAGCCAAAAUAAAUUUAGUUACACAUUAUUUUCAAAUUAAACCAGAAAUUAAACAUGAGUUUGAGAAAAUAUACGACCCUUUUGUUUUUCUUCUGCUGCACGUUCUGCCCUCAGUCCCCGCGUCUCACUCUGUCCAUCCUCCCCAUGCGCCCGUCUCCCAUGUGGACUCCUGCUUCCUCACGCUGCCCAAGGGCAGCUCCCUUACUCUGCCUCUGACUUUGCUCUCCACGUCCGUUUCCUUUUUUAUUUCCUGCACGCUGCCUUCUGUUUCCUGUCUCCCCUGGCUUGCGUCUGUCUCUCCGUCCUCCCUCCACGUAUAUCUUCUCUCUGCUGCAAAGGCAGCUCCUCCCUUUAAAUUUCUGCUUCUCUCUCUCUCCCGGUUUCUGCUGCCGCAAGGCAGCUGUCCCCCUUAUUAUUUUUUUUCUCUGGUCUCACCCUGCCAGGGAAGCUCUGCUCCCCUCUUUAUUGUAUUGCCGUCCACUUCUUUAUUCUUUCCCAUUACUCCAUGUCUCCCAUCAACUUUAUUUUCUUAUUCUUCUUUCUCUACUUGUGCUGUCCGUGUCUCCCAUCAACUUCUUUCUUUUCUUUUGUUUUUGCCAUUCCAUGUUCCAUCCUCUUUAUCAACCUCAUCAUUAAGAGGCCCAUCCAAAUCCUCAACAAGUCCUUUUAUUAAUUCAAAUAAUGCCUCAACCUGUAAAAAUAGCAUUCCAUGUCAUUAAGAAGCAAACUCGGAGAAAAGGACUCUCAAUGAGUUAACCAUACCUUCUCAGCAGUUAAAACAUGAGUUGUAUUUUUCAUAAUGCUCUGAAUUAUAACAGUAGCCAUGACUUUAUUUGUUCCACUAUCAAGAAAUUCCAGGACACGAGGAUAAUUUGUAAGCUUCAAGCCUGUGACAAUAUCAUUAUAUUUCUCAAGUGGAGCACUUAAAAGUGCAACCACUUGUUUUGUUGCCCUGCUGUCUUGAAUUUUUUAUUCCUUCUUUCUGUUUAUUAUUUAAAACUCAUUUGUGUUAUUUUUAUUUUCUUUGCAUAACAAAUCCUAGAAACACAAAAAUAACGUAAAUAGCUCAAAAAUAUAAGGAACUAACUAAGAAAAGACGAGUGAAUUCGAAGUAAAAAUAUAUAUAAAUAUGAUCCGAUCAUGCAUGAACGAUCAAUGACUCGUCUAUGGGUGUAGUUCGCUGGUAGGCAGUGUUGGUAUCGACUUGUAGUGUUAACAGCGGUCGCACUUUUGUACUAACUCCUUAGCAUUUUGGGCAUAGUAGGCCAAUAGUAGCCUGUGUUAAGAGCCUUAUGUGCCAAGGAUCGACCUCCGAAGUGAUUUCCACAAAUGCUUUUGUGGAUUGAGCUUAGAACCUUCAAGUCAUCGGGAGGCGCUAAGCAGCAGAGAUGUGGUCCGGUGUAGGAUCUUCAAAUGAGAAUGCCAUUCCACAUGUAGUAGCGUGCCGCCUUAAUUUGGAGCUUCCUAGACUCCAAUCUUUUCAUGGGGAAUGUGCCAUUGACUAGGUAGUCUACGAUGGAAUCUUGUCAGUUUGGAGUUGUACUAACUUGUGACACCUUGGCUGCUAGUUUCGCCUCUAUGCUCAGCUCAUUUAGAUACUCCAUCGGAAUAGAAUGUUGGUGGUCAAGGGUGGAGCCUAGGCCGGUUAGUACGUCCAUGUAAGUGUUGUCUGCAUGUGAAACUUGAGUAAGGGUGUAAGUCCGAAACGCUUCAAGCAGUCUUGCUAAUGAUUAGUUGGGAAUCAGAAUGAAUUGCGAGCUUUUUCACUGCCAAGUCAUUUGCCAUUCAGAAGCCUGCUACUGCUUUGUUGUUGGAUACUUUGAAACCUAGGCAUCAAAUCGUUUGGAUGACAAGGACUACGCCUGCUUUUGAACAAGGGCAAAGGAAAAGAACAAGGGCAAAGGAAAAGACAGGGAAAAAGCAUGAUAUGGGAUACUCUUGCUUUUGACCCUGAUGAUAUGAGAUACUCUUGCUCUGGUGUGGCUGGUUUGCAUAGGUAUUAUUGGGGGGGGGAAGAAAGCUGAGUAUUUCGAGAGGUUUCGUUGGGAGUGCCCUCUCAGAUAUGAGGAAGGGUUGAGCAUUUUUGCAGGUCUGCCUGUCCGUGGAGGAUGGAGGUCGACAUAUAUAGAAGUUUCCCUAACAACAAGUAGUAAUGCUAUUCCUUUACCCUUCUUGGUCGUAGCAAUGUAAUGGGAGCUGCAAGCUUCACAUGUUUUAACUUUGUCAGAGCACUUUGAAAAAGUUGUAUGUGGUAUUUGGAAAGCUGAUGUUACGUGUGAAGAUUUCAGACAAGCCUUAUCAAGGAAAUCUGGCUCUCGAAGUUCGGAGAGCGAUGCCUUUUCGGUUUUCGAACAAGCAAUCAUGUCGGGGAUCUGGCUCUCGAGAUUCAGGGAGCGGUGCCUCUUCGAUUUUUGAGAAAGCAAUCCUGUUGAGAGUCUGGCUCUCGAGAUUCGGAGGGCGGUGCCUCUUCGAUUUUUGAGCAAGUAAUAAUGCUAUUCCUUUACCCUUCUUGGUCAUAGCAAUGUAGUGGGAGCUGCAAGCUUCAUAUGUUUUAACUUUGUCAGAGCGCUUUGAAAAAGUGGUCUGUGGUAUCUGGAAAGCUGAUGUUGCGUGUGAAGAUUGCAGACAAGCUUUAUCCAAGGAAAUCUGGCUCUCGAAGUUCGGAGAGCGGUGCCUCUUCGGUUUUCGAACAAGCAAUCAUGUCGGGGAUCUGGCUCUCAAGAUUCAGAGAACAGUGCCUCUUCGAUUUUUAAGAAAGUAAUCCUGUUGGGAGUCUGGCUCUUGAGAUUUGGAGAGUGGUGCCUCUUCGAUUUUUGAGAAAGCAAUCUUGUUGGGAGUGUUUUAUCGAAAGUAAGUAAAGGUUGGGCAUUUUUUCCAGUCUGCCUUGCCAUGGAGCACGUUGAUACACAUUGGGACUUUCUAGUUAUCAAGUAGUGGUUUUGUUCCUUUACCCUUGUGGGUAAUAGUAGGGUAGCUGGACCUUCAAAAUUUAUGUGUCUAAACUUUGUCAGAGAUCUUUGGCAAAGUUAUAUGUGGUACCCGAGGAGCUGAUGUUGCGUGCGGAAAGUGGUGCCUCUUCAAAAUUCGGAAAGUGGUGCCUUUUAGGAAUCCGGAGAGUGGUGCCUCUUUGAUUUUUGAACCAACGACCCUGUUGCCCUAUCUUUUAUAAGGGCACCAACUGUGUGCAAGGAGUUCAUUCAGAGAGUUAUUGCUUGUAGGAAUUUUCCCCUUACUUCAGAGAUUUAUUACACCUCAUUUCUCCUUCAUCAUUUCUGAGAAUGUCUAGCCCAUCCGACUGUCUUUUUAACUUGAACUUUGGUGAAGAGGCAGCCAUGCCUUCUCAAGACAACAUAUGGCGCCCAUCCUUCUUAUCCCCUACUGGUUCUCUUACCGUUGGGGACUCUGUGAUGAAGAAUGAUAUGACCGCUGCGGUGGUGGCCAAGAACCUUCUCACUCCCAAAGAUAACAGACUACUUUCCAAACGAUCUGAUGAGUUGGUUGUUAAGGAUUCUCUGGCUCUCAGUGUUCAGUGUUCAGUGUGCAGGUUCUGUGUCUAAUAUGGCCCAACGCCUAUUUGCUCGAACCCGCCAAGUUGAAUCAUUGGUGGUUGAAGUGAUAAGUCUCAAACAAGAGAUCAAAGGGCUCAAGCAUGAGAAUAAACAGUUGCACAGGCUCACACAUGACUAUGCUACAAACAUGAAGAUGAAGCUCGACCAGCUGCAUGAAUCUGAUGGUCAGAUUUUACUUGAUCUGACCAUCAGAGGUUUGUGGGUUUGUUCCAAAAGCAUUUAUUGCCUUCGUUUUCUGGGGCUGUACCGCGUAACGAAGCUUCAAAUGAUCAACCUUUGGUGCCUCCUCCUUCUGGGGUUCUGCCUAGUACUGAGGCUCCGAAUAAUCACCCUAUGGUGCCUCCUCUUUCUGGGGCUCUGCUGACUACUGAGACUUCUCAUGAGCAACCUUUGUGAAGGCUCCCUCUUGUUUGUUUAUUUUGAUUCAUGUAUAUGUACAUAUUUGUAACUUAUCGGAGAUAUCGAUAAACAAGCUUUGGUUCAUUUUAACGUAUUGUGUUAAAUACACCAAGGCCUUCUUUACUAAGUUCUUUGAAUUUUUCCUUUUGUUGAAACUUGUAUGUUGAAGCUUUGUGAGUGAAGCAUAUAGGUUGAGGUAGAGCUCCCUUAAUUUCCCGAGUGAGGAAAACUUCUCGUUUGGAGACUUGAAAAAUCCAAGUCACUGAGUGGUCGUGAGACUUCUGAGUAUCAAGGUGCAGUAGCAUAUGGUAGGAGUCCCCCAAGUCUCCGGUCGAGGGAGUUGACGAAUGAGGCAUUUCCUUUCUAAGUGGUAGCCCAAAACUCCUUCUUCAUAUAUAUUUGUUAUGAAAGUUGUUAGGCCCAAAGAAGAGGAGGCCUAGGCAAAUUUUUUUUUUUUGAAAUUUUUUUUCGAUUUAUUUUUUUUUGAAUUUUCGAAUUUUUCAAUUUCCAAAUUUUUUAAUUUUUGAAUUUCCGAAUUUUUUAAUUUUCGAAUUUCCAAAAAAAAAAAAUAUAUAUAUAUUUUAAAUCUUUGUAGGUGAAGCUUUGGUGUUGAAGCUUUCGUUGGGUACCAUGAAUUGAUUUUGCUUCACACUAUCUUGAUCAAGAUAGUGUGAAGCUUUUGAGAAUUUAUAGUUGUCCUCCAUUGAUGAAGCUUUUGUUGGUGAAGCUUUUGUGUUGAAGCUUUGUAGGUGAAGCUUUGGAGUUGAAGCUUUUUUUGGGUACCAUGAAUUGAUUUUGCUUCACACUAUCUUGAUCAAGAUAGUGUGAAGCUUUUAAGAAUUUGUAGUUGUCCUCCAUUCAUGAAGAUUUGUUGAAUUUCCCUUUUUUUUUGUUUUUUUUUUUAGGAAACUAGAAAUUUGAAAAUGUGGGAGAGACAACAUAUACAAAUUUUGCUUCCACACUGUUGAGCAAGAGAUUGUGAUGCAACUCAUACCUUGUAGUAGUCAAAGUUUUGGAUCAACCAUAUAAAUUGAAUUUGCUUCGAAGGUUUAAGAAUUGUAAUUGCCCUCCAUUGAUCCUCCAUUGAUGAAGCUUUUGUUGACACAUAAAUUGGUUUUGCUUCACAUUGUCUUGAUCAAGAAUGUGUGAAGCUUUUUGAGAAUUGUGGUUGAACUCAUUUGAUGAAGCUUUUGUUGGCACCAUAAAUUGGUUUUGCUUCACACUAUCUUGAUCAAGAGUGUGUGAAGCUUUUGAGAAUUGUGGUUGCCCUCCAUUGAUGAAUCUCUUGUUGGCACCAUAAAUUGGUUUUGCUUCACACUGUCUUGAUCAAGACUGUGUGAAGCUUUUGAGAAUUGUGGUUGCUCUCCAUUAAUGAAGCUCUUGUUGUUGGCACCAUAAAUUGGUUUUGCUUCACACUGUCUUGAUCAAGAAUGUGUAAAGCUUUUGAGAAUUGUGGUUGCCCUCUAUUGAAGAAGCUCUUGUUGGCACCAUAAAUUGGUUUUGCUUCACACUGUCUUAAUCAAGAGUGUGUGAAGCUUUUGAGAAUUGUGGAGGUUGAACUCCUUUGAUGAAACUCUUGUUGGCACCAUAAAUUGGUUUUGCUUCACACUGUCUUGAUCAAGAGUGUGUGAAGCUUUCUACGAGUUGUAGUGUUUGCAUUGUUACAGAGGGGAAAUGUUUGAAGCAGAUGCAAGAAGGCUGAAUAGAUUGAUCUUCGUAUGUCAUGCACUGAAGUUGUUGUUAGCUUGCAAUAAGACUUUGUUGGUGACUAUAACUCUUGUUGGGCAUAAGUGCUCCCUCUAGUUGAGUUGUCAAGCUUGAGGGUUUCUGAUUAUUUGUGAAUGCUAGGAGUUCACAUGUACAAGUUGUACCACUCGUCUUCUGGUAGGUGGAAUGAAUGGUGAGUUGCUUUCAUCACUUGGUUGGUGGUACGAAGGUGAGUUCUUUCUUCCCCUGGUUGGUGGCAUGAGUGACAAGUUGCCAAAUGAUAUUAGAGUACGGGUUAUACAUUUCAUCACCUGGUUGGUGGCAUGAAGGAGUGUACGGGUUUUUACAUUUCAUCACCUAGUAGGUGGCAUGAAUGGCAAGUUGCCAAAUGAUAUUAGAGUACGGGUUGUACAUUUCAUCACCUGGUUGGUGGCAUGAGUGGCAAGUUGCCAAAUGAUAUUAGAGUACGGGUUGUACAUUUCAUCACCUGGUUGGUGAGAAUAAGGGCAAGGUGUCUAGGCACAUUGUAGCAAGUGUCGAAUGACACAAAAUAUGUUGAACCCUUUCAAAGCACAGUUGGCUUAUGUAUGAAUGUGUUGGAAUGUAUGAUUGAACGAAUAUACUGUGAAGCUGUUCGUUUAUUUGUAUAGUCUUGUUGACAUAUACUUAGACUUUGUUUCAUGUUGGAAGCAUUCAUGUUGAAGCUUUGAACCCAAGUGUUUCAUUGCUAGGAAUAUAAGAGGAUUAUGAUCGAGAUGUCUAAAUCACCUUUUAUUGAAUUCAUGCCAAAUAGUCUUCAUUACAUAGGAUGCUGAACAGCUGAAGCUUAACACUUGUACAAUGUGAGUUUACUUGUAAUAGUACUUCAAGUGAUCAGGAUUCCAUGGAUGGCCAAGGGUCUUGCCAUCAGAGCUUUUAAGCUUGUAGAAGCCAAGGCGAAUGAUGCCAACAACUUCAAACGGUCCAUCCCAGUUUGGACUAAGUGUUCCUUCACUUGGGACUCUGUCGCAGAGUAAUCUUUUCUUCAAUACCCAGUCCCCCACUUUGAAAGAACGAGGUUUAACCCUUGAGUCAUAGUAGUUGGAGAUGCGCUGCUUAUAGGCGACAUUCCUCAAGUGAGCCUGGUUUCUGUUUUCCUCGACUAGAUCUAAGUUGAGGGUAAGUUGUUUGUCAUUUUCGCUUUGCACGUAGUUCUGGACUCGGAACGUUGCUUGCUCAAGCUCAACUAGGACAACUGCCUCUGUACCAAAGGCAAGUGAGAAUGGGGUUUCUCCUGUUGAUGUCCGAUAUGAAGUGCGUAGUAUGACCAAAGAACUUGGGGUACAAAUUCUGGCCAACAACCUUUAGCCUUGUCCAACUUGGUUUUCAAAGUUCGCUUGAUUAUUUUGUUGAUGGCUUCAACUUGUCCAUUAGACUGGGGAUGAGCUGGGGAGGCAAAACAUAAGUUGAUGUUGAACUUAAAGCAGAACAUCCUGAACUUAUUGUUGUCGAACUGUCGCCCGUUGUCAGUGACUAUCACAUUGGGAAUGCCGAAACUGCAAAGGAUGUUCUUCCAUACGAAGUCUUAUAUUUUUGCCUCAGUAAUGGUUGCCAAGGGUUCUACUUCGGCCCACUUUGUGAAGUAGUUAACUGCAACGAUUGCAUAGCGAACCUUGCCCUUCCCUGCAGGCAUUGGGCCGAUCAAAUCAAGUCCCCAUUGGGCGAAAGGCCAAGGGCUGAUCAUAGGAGUGAGCGGCUCGGGAGGGGAGUGAGGAAUAGUUACGUAGCGUUGACACUUAUCACAUGAGCGGGAUAUUCUGAUGGCAUCUUAGUGGAGUGUUAGCCAGUAAUAUCCCUGGCGAAAAGCCUUGUGUGCUAGGGCAUGAUCUCCGCAGACUCCUUCAUGUAUUUCUCGAAUGACAGUUUCCACCUCUGCUGGCGUAAGGCAUCUUAGGUACGGUAGGUUAAAACCUCGCUUGUAGAGUUAGUCAUUAAUGAUCAAGUAACGCGUAGCCUUGUAUCGAAUCUGCUUAGCUUGGACUUUGUCAUUUGGAAGGGUGCCAUGAGCAAGGAAUCUAUAAAUCGGGGUAAUCCAACUAUCUCUUUGUUGUAAGUUGUACACUUCCGCAACCAUGGUGCUUGGUGCUGCCAACAAUUCGACCUGAAUUUUUCUCCCAAUCUUGUCUUCCACCACUGAGGCGAGGCGAGCCAAAGCAUCUGCAUGACUGUUUUCCGCUCAAGGAAUAUGGGUGAUCUGGUAGUGGAAGCGCUUGAGCAACAAUUAUGUUUGUGCCAGAUAUGCUGCCAUGAAGUUAUCCUUAGCUUCAAAGUUAUUGGUGACCUGGUUAACCACCAAUUGGGAGUCACUGAAGAUAUCAAUUCGUUUAACCCCAAGGUGUUUGGCCAAACGUAAGCCUGCUAGAAGGGCUUCAUAUUCGGCCUCAUUGUUCGACGCCUUGAAUUUGAAACGAAGAGCAUACUCUAUCGCCACUUUGUCAGGGGUCGUAAGGACUAGUCCUGCUCCACAACCCUGUUGGUUGGACGAGCCAUCAACAUAUAGACUCCAUGCUGGGGCUGUUGGUUCUAUUUUCUGAGCUUCGAAGGGUAAUGAAACCACUUCUUUAGGCAUAGAAACAAUGUCAACAAGAUAUGUGAAGUCAGCGAUGAAGUCUGCCACUACUUGGCCCUUCUCAGCUGGCUUUGGUUGGUUAGAGAUGUCAAAUCACCCAAUGUUAUCGCCCAUUUGAUCAUUCGCCCGAAAGUGUCAGGACUUUGGAGUAUAUUGUCGAAGAGGAUGAUUGGUAAGCACGAUGAUGGAGUGUGCUUAGAAGUAAGGGCAAAGUUUUCGAGCAGACAUGACCAAUGCUAGAGCCAAUUUCUAAAUGUUGGAGUAUCAUGUCUCCGCAUCUUGUAAGUCCUUGCUAGCGUAGUAGACAGGCUGUUCGACAUUACCAUCAUUUCGAAUGAGAACAGAACUUACUGCCGAAGCCGAUACCGACAGAUAGAUAAUGAGAGUGUCACCAACCUCAGGUUUGGAGAGCAAAGGGGCUUUACUCAUGUAGUUUUUGAGGUUCUUGAAUGCCCCAGCACAUUUAUCAGUCCAUGUAAUGUACUUCUUACUUCCCUUAAGUACUUUGAAGAAAGGAGCACAUCUAUCGGUGGCCUUAGAGAUGAACCUAGUUAAGGCUGCCACCUUACCAGUAAGGCUCCGGAUGUCUUUUGAAGUUAUCGGUUCCUUCAUGUCGAGGAUUGCUUUGAUCUUCUCGGGAUUAGCCUCAAUGCCUCGUUGGCUUAUCAUGAACCCUAAGAAUUUGCCAGAGCCUACGCCGACGGCACAUUUGUUGGGGUUCAAUGAUAGGAUUAAAAGCACACCACAAAGUAGCACACAAAUGUCCUAUUGAUUUUCCUUACUAACGCUAAGAUUUGUCAAUUGUAGCAUAUGAAAAUAAGGGUCUUUCCCGCAGAAGAUUGUUUUAUCUAACUACUUAAAAUGUCACAAAAACUGGUUGUUGUCCCUACUGACCAGCCCCCGAAAAAUAAUUAUUAGACAGACUUAUACUUAUCUAAAGUCUACGAAAUUUUAUAUGCAGAUACUAGACACACAGAGCUACACUCACACAAAUUUUUGGGAUUUUUUAUUUUUUUUAGAGUAAAUAGAACUAAUUAAGAAAACAAAAAGAAACAACAUGGAAACAAAUCAAACUAGUUCUUAGUCGAAGGUAUGAAAAUUUUCAAUUUCAUCAGUUUUUUCAAUCCUUACCCCCAAACCUAAACUGGACAUUGUCCCCAAUGUCAGAAAAACACAAUAAUGCAUAAAAUAAAAAUAAAAUAAAAUAGUAAGAAACAAAAUAAAACAUUUGGAUUGAAAACUUCCCCAAUUUCCAUUUAAAUCAAGCGAUGACCCCCAAACUCCAAUUUUACAAUCAACUUCAAGGGUGGACAUGAUCAAACUUUCCGAGAGUAAUCAUCCAAGGGGGGCUGGUUAUUGGACCUUCGAGUAUGCAUAUACUACGAAGAGUACCUGACAUAAAAAACAAAAACAAAAACACUAAUUAGACAAGAAAAGAAAACAAUAGAGAAAUAAGUAAUUAGAAAUAACAAUCCCCGGCGACACGGCGCCAAAAAUUUGAUAGGAUUAAAAGCACACCACAAAGUAGCACACAAAUGUCCUAUUGAUUUUCCUUAUUAACGCUAAGAUUUGUCAAUUGUAGCAUAUGAAAAUAAGGGUCUUUCCCGCAGAAGAUUGUUUUAUCUAACUACUUAAAAUGUCACAAAAACUGGUUGACGUCCCUACUGACCAGCCACCGAAAAAUAAUUUAUUAGACAGACUUAUACUUAUCUAAAGUCUACGAAAUUUUAUAUGUAGAUACUAGACACACAGAACUAAUUAACAAAUCAAAAUAGUUCUUAGUCGAAGGUAUGAAAAUUUUCAAUUUCAUCAGCUUUUCAAUCCUUACUCACGACCUCUCGCAACAGCGCCAAAAAUUUGAUAGGAUUAAAAGCACACCAUAAAGUAGCACACAAAUGUCCUAUUGAUUUUCCUUAUUAACAAUAAGAUUUGUCAAUUGUAGCAUAUGAAAAUAAGGGUCUUUCCCGCAGAAGAUUGUUUUAUCUAACUACUUAAAAUGUCACAAAAACUGGUUGCUAUCCCUACUGACCAGCCACUGAAAAAUAAUUAUUAGACCGACUUACACUUAUCUAAAUUCUACGAAAUUUUAUAUGCAGAUACUAGACACAAAGAGAUACACUUCUACAAAUGUUUGGGAUUUUUGGAGUCGAUUUUCUAUUUAAAUUAAAUUGAAUAGAAACAGGACAGAGACAAAUUUUAAAUAGUUCAUAAAUUAAGAAAAACGAGACAGGGGUAUUGCUAUCCACCACCAAAUAAUCAUGCAAACAUGUUAUGUUUUCAUUCAAAUUUCUUUUAUUUCCGGAUGAAGAUGCUCAAGUUGGCUCAAUGUUAGAACUCAACAUAUUACUCUUUCUUAUGUAGUAUGUUAAGAGAAUGGAGUUUUCAACUUAACUUAGUCCCUAGCAUGCAAUCUAGAAUGGCAUGUUCAUAGAUUUAACAAGUAGGAAUCAUUAAGAACGAAAAGAGUUUGAGUCAUCACAAGACAUCGUAAGUACUGGCGUUGUCUUACUUAUCCUAGAAAUUGGUUCACAUGUUAAUCGCAAUUAACAAGUACUACUCUAGAAUAUAUGUAGGUCCUCAUUCGACAAGGGCAGGCACACACAUAUUCAUAGCAUUAGAAUCCUAGAUAUGCUUACUACGUAUGCAUCCAUAGAAAACAAAUAAAGAAUUCAUCAAUGAGACAAGUAGUGAACCAAUUUUCAUCCAUUCAUAAAAGUAAUUCAAACGAAAUGUCAUAACAAACUUGUAAUCAUAUUCGGGGCUUCAAAACAGCCCCUAACUUAUAAAAAAUUAGUUACACACAAUCCUUAAGUUAAAACAAAAGAUAGACAUGAGUUUGAGAAGAUAGAACCGAAAGAAAUCGACCGAGGCCUCCUCUUCCCUUCCUUCCUUCCCCAAUGCUGCUUUUAAACCCAUUCUUGCUGCAUCAUUUUCUUCUACUUAACUCACCCACUAAUAGCCAUUUAGUGAUGACAAUAAGUGAGGAAAUGUGGUAAAACAAUUGUAACACUUUAGGUAGCCUUUAUGCCAAUUACUCCCUCUUAAUCCUCAUUUUUAAUUCCAUUUCCUCUGAUAUUUGAAUAGGUGUCAGCUGACUUGUUCUUGGCUGCAUCAGUUUUGGCUGCUAGAUUUAUUGGGUUUAUUGCUUCCAUUGCAGUUACGAACUGCCCAGUCUCUUGUGAACCUUUCAGUGUUAAAAUGGCCAUAACUUCUUCUACGAAAAUGAUAUUAACAAUCUAAGAACUGCUUCAGAAAAUAGACAUCCGUAGCUUUCCAAGCAUAUAAGGCUCAUUCUCUAAUUCAUUUUGAGCUGUUCGCAACUUGCUUCCAAAGUCAGCUGAUUUGCACAGGCAGUUUUGACAAUUUAUUACUAAAAAUCCUACUUGUGCUAUUUUUCUUUUAUUUGCUUGACAAAAUCCCACAAAACACAAAAACAAAGUAAAUAGCUCAAAAAUAUAAGGAACUAACUCAUAAAAGACAAGUGAAUUUGAUGUAAAAUAUAUAUAAAUAUGAGCUUAUCAUUCAACCUCAUUCGAUACCUUUUCAGAAUGGUGAAAGUUUCAGAAAGGUUGGUGAUGUGUGAAGGAAAUUUUGUGAAAAAAUGUUCAUUUUAAGCAACAUCUAUAGCAUGCAAUUAACAAAUUAAAGGCGGAAUCAUGCUUGUAUGCACUUAAAAACAAGACAUUAACCAUGAAAUUCAAAGCCUAGUAGAUUGGUGAACCUUGACUCAACUUAAAACAACAUUUGUUAGUUGAGAAAUUAUACCUUUGUAGAUUCCUCUUUGCAUAAGCAAAGGCUAAUCACCCAAAGUGAGGGCCUUCAUUCCUUGCAUCUUAGAUCUAUGGAUUUGGAUGGAUGAAAUGGUUCUCCAAGUUCCCAAAAUUGAGAACCUCUAAGUCUCUUCACCAAGGUUAGAUUGGAGAAGAAAUGAGUGACCUUGGAGUAGUAGGAUUGCUAGCUAAACCCUCCAAAGAGGCCGGCCACUUUAGAGAAAAAGGAGAGCUUAUGUUCUCAUCCUUUUCCCAAACGAAAACCCUAAAUGAAUUUUGGCUAUAAAGUCAUAUUUAUACCUUUAUUCAUUGGAGUGGCAAACUUGUAAUUAAGUCCAAAACCCACUCCUUUAACAAAAUGGCCGGCCAUAGGGUUUCAUUGGGCUUUUUAAGGCCUUUGUGAAUUAUUUGUCUUUAAAGUUGUCAUACAACUUAAGUCAAUGGGCUUGACGUUCAAAGCCCAUUGGGCCUUGAGGCACAAAACUAUCCCGAGGUCUUUAACGAACUUAUUCGUUUGAUUAAUUAACAUAUUAAUUAAUCCUUGCCAUAAAUAAUUAAACCAUUUAAUUAUUCUUACUCAACUCCAUUGUUUCUUCAAUCUCCACCUUACACGGUAUACGAUCCAUUAGGUUCCUUUUAGCGAGGCAGUGGGCGAUUAAAACCAUUUCAAAUCGAUUGUGAAUUGAAACUUACUUUCAAUUCUCCCCUUAGUGAUUAUACACGUUUAGGGCUUCCACAAACCAUGAGUGACACCUAGCAGCAUAUCAUGGUUACCCAAGCUAAUCAGAAGAGGUGGAGAACCUAUUCAGUUUAGGAUUAUAAAAUGCAAUACGGUCUUUCUCUAAUACAAUACUCUUGACCACAUUGUUUGGUUUGAUAGUUUAUUCAUGUCUACUAUCCAAUGUGAUUCGUGUGCUUAUAUGAUUACCUUGAAUGUGAUUUGGAACGACUUCCUAAAUCUCAUUCAUACUCUGGCCAGAGAAGACACAGCACGUACUGAUCUUAACGGACUGUCAAUGCCCAAUUGGCAAUCCUAUGAUCAGGAACGUUUAGGAUGUGUCUACGAAAGAAUGGUCUCAUGAAUCUAACUUCUUGAGAUCGCAUUCUCCCAAUCACAUAUUCCUUGGACUUAUCGUUUAAGCGUAUAACAUUUAUAUGAGACGGCUCAAACAAUAAUCUUUGCCCUUGAUAUUAAACUAGAUUAGUUUAACAUGUGAAAUGUCCGUAAAGUAUCAUCAUAUGAUUGGUUUUAGGGCACAUUUCCAACAAUCUCCCACUUGCACAAGAGCCAAUCAGCUUGGUCAUCAAUGAUGAUACCUCUUAUGUAGUCAUUUCAUAAAUGGCUGAGUAGUAGGCCUAGACAAUGGAUAUCUAUAUGUUAUCCAUAAAAGCAACCUUGAGAAUAACGACGUCACCAUUAUACAUGAUUCUUAAUCAUGUGGUUCAGUCUCUCAUUUGAGUUCGGAUCUUGAUGAGACCUUGAUUCCCUGGCUUGAGCUAUCGCCCCAUUAGUGUCGUAGUCUCGGUACACUAGAGACACUUUCUGGUUGGAACCGAAUAGAGAGUUCAUAAAUGAACUUUCCCAUCCAAACAACAUUGUUGUAAGCUUCUAUAUGGCAAUAUAUUUUGCAUUCAUAAUGGAACACACUAAAGUCAUUACUUUUAAUGUUUCCAUCAAAAAUAUCUCUUUAGUCAUAAUAAAGAGAUAUCUGAUUAUCUCUUCAUUCAUAAUGAAGAAAUAUCCAAUGAUGGAUUAGAUUUCAUAUUCUAAUACAUUUACGCUUCCUUUACGUUACUCUAAUUGUUCCUCAUUCUUUGAGGAAUCUAUCCUUUAGUAUUUCUUAAAUACUUAAGGAUUCACUUGACAGUUGCCGUGGUUCUGAUCCUGGGCUUGCACUGAUAUCAUCUUGUACCUAUCUAGGUACAACUCAUAUCAUUGUUUUCAUACAAUAUGAAAUACAUAAAUCACUUUUCUGCAUAUGCAUAAAGGAUUCUAUUGACGCAUUAUUUCUUUGGGAGUCAAAGAGUACGUUCUCUUUGAGAAGAGCAACUUCUUAGUCUCACAAGAGUUGUCCUUUUUUAUUGAAGUUCAUCAUCAUAUGAGAAACUUCCUAUCAUCUUUUGUCUAUAUUUAGGGCUUGAUAUAAUCCAAUUAUAUCCUAAAAUCUAUCAAUAUAGAUUUCUAUUCCAUGUAUAUAGACUAUGUCUCCCGUAUACAUUCUAUCUUCAUAUAAUGUUUUAAAGUCAUAACUUUAACGAAGAAGUAUUCUUUUCAUUUCCAAAAUUAAUAUAUCAUAUAUAUAUAUAUAUUCAAAUUUAGGAAUUUGAUUAACUCCCACUAAUCUUUUGUAAAUCUAGUAAACAAAAUAUUCAUUCACAUCUUUAUGAGAAAUGAAACGAUUUGAUCUUUCUCUCAUAAGACACUUAUAGCUCCCACUAGCUUGCUAAGAUCCAUGAUGGAUGGAUCUCUACAACUUACAUGUCUUGUGAUUCAUAGUUUUAGACAUAAUAUAUUAUCAAGACUAUCUUAAUAAUGGUUUCGAAAAACCCAUAUAAUGUCCAAACAUUGAAUCACCAUUUAAUUGUAGCUAGUAAUCUUCGAAUUAAUUGAAACUAAGACUACGUCAAAGAUGGUUUCUUCAAAGUCAACCAUUCUCUUUGAUUGUAGUCACCUUAAGCUACCAAUUAGCUAUAAAGGUUUCAUUAUUUUGGGUCAAAUGGUACUUUACCAUUUCCUUGAGUAUAUGUUGUAUAUACACUCAAUGUAGUCAUAAGGAUUUUCAUUCUUAUUUCUUUCGAAUUAAGAGGUGCAACUCUAUGACAUAGUCAUAAAGUUCAAACCAUUCAACUGAGACAGUUUAUAAAUCCUUCUCGACUACCUUGGAGCUUGUGGUGUAGAAACUAGGUUGUUAUAUUUGUUGAUUAUCAUCUUGUCUCUCAAAGAACCCAUUCUUUGAGUUCUAUCUCUUGUUCAUUUGCGCUAUCUUAGGCAAAUCCUAUGGUAGGAUUACAAUGAACUAUCCAACAAAACAACAUUUUGUUAGUUGGUUUAUAGAAGUGAUAUCCAAAUGUUAAUUUAAGGAUACCCACAAGAUAAUUUUUCAAACAAAUAUUGCUUAUUAGCACCCAACCCCAAAUCUUAAUACAAUUAAGACUUGUCUUUCUUUCCAACUACAUCUUAUGGAGUCAUGAAAAUUUUGGAAGAUCUUCUAAUUGACAAUCAUAUUGUCUUAGAAGCAUAUAUCCUAUAUAUGGGUAAUUGAUAACAUCCAACGAACUAAAUCUUAUUCAAGUUCGUUCUUCUCCUAAUGGAGAAAUCCAUUAUCUUUUGAUGCUUCUUUCCUUGAUAUUUUUCAAGGAAAACUGUUCUAAAGUGUUAUCUUUCCUUGGAUCAAAUCUAAGGAGGGAAAUACUUUAGACGUCUUACUCAUCAACUUACAUUUCUUGAAUUCUUUGAAACCUUUUUGCAAAGUAUUCGGACUUGUGUUUAUUCAAAAUAAACUAUAGUCCAACCGAGAGUGAUCUUCGGUGAAUGUCAUACAACAUGAGUAGUAUUAUGUUGUGGACAAGUGCCACUAACAUCUAAGUGAAUUAACCUCAACAACUUUGUGAUUCUUUCUUCUUUCCAAAAGAAUAAAGAUUCGAACAUUUCGCCUCCAUACAAUUUUAAUAAGAAGGUAUUGGAUCCGGAUCUAACGAUCUAAAGCAUCCAUCUAUGACCAACUCGUAAUUUAUGUUUUAGAGGUAUCACAACUUUAGUUGGGAUUAGUCACUACCUUGCAACCUUUUGGGUUUUAAGCAUCGUUAUAUUCUAAACAGUUAACACUACCAUAUCAUCUCUACUAUAGAGACAAUCAAUUAGAUUACUAUAAUCCAAUCAUUGACUAAUAAAGAACAAUAUUUUGUCAAACAAAACAUUCAUCCAUCUCUACUAUAGUGACGGAAUUAAGUUCCUUAAAAUUGGAAUGUAAAGACAAUCUUUGGUUUUUCCAAUUUCUUUGGUAGUUCAUAUGAGGAAGUAAGUAUUAUCUGCUUUCGCAGAGAUCUUUAUUUUAUUCAUGUUCCGAAUGUGAAGCACCUUUUUCUUCUCUCAUAUAUCUUCUACUUCUUAUUAGUCACACACUUUUACAACGAUUGUAAAACAUAGUUACUAAUACGGAAUCAAGCAUUCAAGUAGAAGAACCAACUGUUUUGAACUAUUCAAGAACAAUUACCAACACCUUCGAAAGGUGUGUUCUUGACACUUGCAAGACAUUUCUUGCAAAUACCCCUUCCAUUGUCCAUCCUUUCAUAAAGAAAGUUUGUUCCCUUGGAGUUAUUUCUAUCUUCUUCAUUUGACUUCUCCUUUGACUACAAUAGUCAUGGUCCCUAAACUCCCACUAUCUCUCUUGAAACUUAUUUCAAUUGUGUGUUUAUACACAUCAAACAUUUUGGAGAGCAUGUGUUUAUUGUUCACUACAUAGUUUACAAUAAACUUAGUGAACCAUUUGGAUAGGGACACAAAGGUGAAGUCCUUGCCUAGUUUCCGUUUCUAGAAGUGGUUUAACACUUCAACACUCAAUGAUUCAAAAUCAUCAUAAGUCCAUGUCGAUGGACUAUUUUUGUCAACCAACCAUUGUGUUCUAAACAUAAUUACAAACUUUCAAGAGUUGUUCAAGGCAACUCUCAUUUCUUCAUACAACAAUUUGUAAGUGAAGAAUCAUGGCACAUAAAGUGUCCAUGCCUUUUGUGCUUUCUUCUUAAGUUCCUUGUUCAUGUAACAAAGAAACAAGCACUAAUGUUUGCGUUAGUUAAGGGUUGUUCAAAGCAACUCUUAUUUCUUCAUACAACGAUUUGUAAUUGAAGAAUUAUGACUUUAAAAAGUGUUGUCCUCUUUAUGAUAGACUUUUUCUAAUAUAUUCUUCUAAUGAUACAUUAUCAAUAGGAAGAUUGUGAGGAUGAGACUACUUAGGUACAUUUACAAGCCAUUAAAGACAAUCUAUGGUUUUGUAGUACCAAGUCCGGAAACUAAAGCUUUCGGCUUUUAUUUGUCAAGUGUUGGAUAGCGUUUGCAAAUAUAUUGGUAAAUAAAUACAUAACGAAUAUAAAUCGAUUGAUUUUAAGCCAUUUGAUCCGGGUCUUUAAAUCAAAUAGCACCACCCACUAUUUUUGGCAAAUUCCAUAUCCUUCAUUGGAAUUCGAGAGUUUUGGACGAAACUCUUAGUAGGGUAUGGGAGACUCACCAUUACCAAGCUCACCUCACAAUGAUAUGAUGUUGGCUAGCAUUAAUAAUAAUGAGAGAGUACGCUUGCUCAUUUGCAUCUCUUGCAAGUACCCAUCUUAUUUGGUCUCUAGAGAAUGUAGCCUCACAAUGAUAUGAUGUUGGCUCGAUUGCACUUAGUUACGUCAUUCCCACCAUGCAAGUUCGGGUAGGGGUUCAAGAACAAACCUCACAAUGAUAUGAUGUUGGCUAUUCUCGUUGCCUACCUUUCACAACAUCAAGUAUGCAUAUAGACUCCUCCUGAGUGUAAGCACGCACUUUGUACUCCCCCAUGAUAUGGUGAAGCCGGUGUACGAGUCACAAACGAUCGGAGCCUACCACGGUGGAAGGCCACGAAAGAGUGUUCAAAGCACUCUCACGCUUCUCAACUUAAUAAUGGUUUGGUUGAGGGUUUUAGGUCUCAUCACAUAUAAAUAUUCAUUUUAAUCUUUAUUAAAACAAUUUUGGACCUAUUACAACUAUUGGUCCAUUUGAUUGAAUUUAGUUGUAUAUAAUACUCCCACUAUGCUUAUAAAACGGUUUUUAAAGCAAGAGUAUAUGAUACUACUAACAUAAACUUUGCAUUCAUUUGAUGGACUAUAUAGUUGCCUUAGGGCCUUAGGAUGACUAUGAACCUUUGUUUAGAUUUCAACACGAGCCUAGUGUUGAAUCUCGGUCUAGGGAUGGUGAUUGAUUUUAGUUACGCGUUUAAUCACAUUAAGGCGUUGGACCCUCUACUCCAUUUUCAUGCAUAUUAAAUAAUACAAGAAAUGAGUACUUCAAAGUAAAGAUGAGCUUAUGCUCUUUACAACAUUUGAAUAAAACAAAUUACUUUAAAGUAAAGAAGAGCUUAUGCUCUUUUUUACAACAUUUGAUCAAAUCAAAUUACAAACCAAAGUCUAAUCUACACAUUCCCAUGGUUCAAACAAAUUUGAAACGGCCUUUCACAUAGCUCAAUUAUCGUAGGCUUAGGUUCAUAAUCACCCUUUAAUUAAUUAACACUUUAACUAAUUAAAUUGAAUGCAACAUUUUCAUUUGGUUUUUGUAUCCAUAGAAUUGAUUUAAAUGGAGCUAAAUGAAAUGAAAAUCCAAUUCUCAUUUAAACAGACAAAACAAUUUUGUUCUCAACUUAAUUUGGGCCAAAAUGCAAUAACCUCAACUUUUGGGCUAUAUUGAAAAAAAAAACAUAAACUUUUGGGGUCACUUUGUAAAAACACAAAAGUCCACUACUUCAUGUAAUUACAACUAGAACCCAAAAAUUUCAACAAAUUCAAAAAAACUUCAUUAAAGGAACAAAAACAAUUUGUCCUUUAAUGAUUUUGGGCCUUUACGUAAAUACGUAAACUUUUGGGUCAAACUACAAAUUACACAAAAGUACCAAAAACUUUAUGUAAUUGCAUAAAAGCCUCAAAAACACCCCACUUGUAGGGUGGCCUGUUUUUGGAGGGAAGGGAGUGAUGUGUGUGUUGAUUUGUAGUUUUAGACAUAAAGUCAUGCAAGUGGUGCAUGACAUAAAUGUCAUGCAAGUGGUGUGUGUGAAAGGGAAUUAAUCCUUACACACCCACCAAUAUUUCUUACACCUUUCUAAAUAAAUAUCUAACACAUUUAAACAUAUGAAAAACAUAAAACAUAAACUUUAUGAAAUAAAUCAAAAACACCAAACUUUUUGUUCUUGGCAAAAAAUGUCAAGAACAACGAAGAACACUCAUGAAAAACUCAAAAAAUUUCCAUGAACAUUUUUCACCCAAAACCAUUCAAACUUAAGGGAAAUAACAUAUAACCAAACUAGGGUACAUAGGGGUUCCAAAAAGUUACUUGAAAACACUUUUUAACAAAGUCAAACAAGAACCCAAAAAUCCACCCUUUGGAUUUGGCCGAAAAUUCCCAAAAAACAUGGCACCAAAUUUUAGCUCCAAUAUUCAUGCUCAUAUGAACUACAUCUACAACAUUUGAGAUGGCAAAUUUUCUAACAAAAAUUUACAUUCAAAGAAAACAAAAAAUAAAGCUUGUAACAUAUUACAACAUUUAA
rnacentral:lncRNA from 1 species